CUUUCCUUUGUCCCCACAGCAAACCAUCCUGGGGCUUGCCCAUAGAUGCUGUUCAGUGGGAUAUCUGCAAUCUGCCAUUGAGAACUGGCUCUGUGGAUAUUAUUGUAACAGAUUUGCCAUUUGGAAAAAGGAUGGGAUCCAAGAAGAGAAACUGGAACCUUUAUCCAGCUUGCCUACGGGAAAUGAGCCGUGUCUGCACACCUACCACAGGCCGAGCUGUACUACUUACUCAAGACACAAAAUGCUUUACCAAGGCGUUAUCUGGAAUGCGACACGUAUGGCGAAAGGUGGAUACAGUCUGGGUGAACGUUGGUGGUCUUCGUGCUGCAGUUUACGUUCUGAUACGUACACCUCAAGCUUUUGUUCAUCCUUCAGAACAAGAUGGAGAAAGAGGAACUCUUUGGUAAUGCAAAGAAUGAAGAUGACUAAUAGUACUUGUACUUCCCACCACUGGAAAUGUUAGCAUAAAAGAACUUGGAGAGAAAAAUAGUAUUAACAGAAGUGCAGUCUGCACUCUAAACCUGUUUAAGGCUCUUCAUCCUGGUUAGCAAAAGGUGUGAAUAUAAUGUGAUGGAAUUUAAAAGUUUUAUGAGACCAGG
rnacentral:sRNA from 1 species